CCCACUGAAUUUUCACCAUAUAUGCAAUCCAUCUAUCUAAGGUAUGAUUUGCAGGAGUAUUUAAGGGCUAUCAUCAGUCAUAUGCAUACAUCUCCCCUCCACAAGAAUGGGAUGCGUGUGAUUACUGUCAUUCAAACCGUCUGACCAACUGUCGCAACUACUCUUCGCACGGUGCCGGAUUCCAAGCUUGUUUUGACAGUUUCAUGUUUCUG
rnacentral:lncRNA from 1 species